rnacentral:rRNA from 1 species
ACGAACGCUGGCGGCGUGCCUAAUACAUGCAAGUCGAACGGUCUUUCUAUGGAAGCAUGCUUCCACUGAGAAGAUAGUGGCGAACGGGUGAGUAACACGUGGGUAACCUGCCCAUAAGAGGGGGAUAACAUCCGGAAACGGGUGCUAAUACCGCAUAGUUUUCUUGAUCGCAUGAUUGAGAAAGGAAAGACGGCCUUUGUGCUGUCGCUUAUGGAUGGACCCGCGGCGUAUUAGUUAGUUGGUGAGGUAACGGCUCACCAAGACGAUGAUACGUAGCCGACCUGAGAGGGUGAUCGGCCACAUUGGGACUGAGACACGGCCCAAACUCCUACGGGAGGCAGCAGUAGGGAAUCUUCCGCAAUGGACGAAAGUCUGACGGAGCAACGCCGCGUGAGUGAAAGAAGGUUUUCGGAUCGUAAAACUCUGUUGUCAGAGAAGAACAAGUUGGAGAGUAACUGCUCCAGCCUUGACGGUAUCUGACCAGAAAGCCACGGCUAACUACGUGCCAGCCGCCGC